rnacentral:rRNA from 1 species
AUGGAGAUGAAACCCAAAAGAUUUUCGUUGGGGCGUAACCCUCUCAGCGACGCGCCACAUCGGAACCCGGGUGUGGUGGAAAAUGGGCAAGGGCCAGGCCGUCACCCCCCAGGUGGCGCGCCGUAUCUUGAUCCGGAUACGGUGGCAAGUGAGCGAGGAUCGGGUCGUCGCAUCCUUAGUGGCGCGCUACAUCGGCGCCCGGAUGUAGUGGAAAAUGAGCAAGGGUCUUCGCAUUUGACUCGACGAGUGCGAAGGGUAAGGAAGCUAGCCGAGCCUAGGAGGAUUCGCUUAGGUAGCUGGAACGUAGGGUCUCUGACAGGGAAGCUUCGGGAGCUAGUUGAUGCAGCGGUGAGGAGAGGUGUUGAUAUCCUUUGCGUCCAAGAAACCAAAUGGAGAGGACAGAAGGCGAAGGAGGUGGAGGAUACCGGCUUCAAGCUAUGGUACACGGGGACGGCUGCAAACAGAAAUGGCGUAGGCAUCUUGAUCAACAAGAGCCUCAAGUAUGGAGUGGUAGACGUCAAGAGACGUGGGGAUCGGAUUAUCCUGGUCAAGCUGGUAGUUGAGGACUUGGUUCUCAAUGUUAUCAGCGCGUAUGCCCCGCAAGUAGGCCACAAUGAGAACACCAAGAGGGAGUUCUGGGAAGGCCUGGAAGACAUGGUUAGGAGUGUACCGAUUGGUGAGAAGCUCUUCAUAGGAGGAGACCUCAAUGGCCACGUGGGUACAUCUAACACAGGUUUUGAAGGGGCGCAUGGGGGCUUUGGGUAUGGCAUCAGGAAUCAAGAAGGAGACGAUGUCUUAAGCUUUGCUCUAGCCUACAACAUGAUUGUAGCCAACACCCUCUUUAGAAAGAGAGAAUCACAUCUGGUGACUUUUAGUAGUGGCCAACACUCUAGCCAGAUUGAUUUCAUCCUCUCGAGAAGGGAACAUAGGCGUGCGUGCCUAGACUGUAAGGUGAUACCUGGAGAGAGUGUUGUACCCCAGCAUAAGCUGGUGGUUGCUGACUUCCGCUUUCGGAUUCGUGUCCAGCGGGAUAAGCGGGCUAAAGUCGCUAGAACGAAGUGGUGGAAGCUCAAGGGGGAGGUAGCUCAGGCGUUCAAGGAGAGGGUCAUUAAGGAGGGCCCUUGGGAGGAAGGAGGGGAUGCGGACAAUGUGUGGAUGAAGAUGGCGACUUGCAUUCGUAAGGUGGCCUCAGAGGAGUUUGGAGUGUCCAGGGGAAGGAGAAGCGAAGAUAAGAAUACCUGGUGGUGGAAUGAUGAUGUCCAGAAGGCGAUUAAAGAGAAGAAAGAUUGCUUUAGACGCCUAUACCUGGAUAGGAGUGCACACAACAUAGAGAAGUACAAGAUGGCGAAGAAGGCCGCAAAGCGAGCUGUUGGUGAAGCAAGGGGUCGGGCGUAUGAGGACCUCUACCAACGGUUAGGCACAAAGGAAGGCGAAAGGGACAUCUAUAAGAUGGCCAAGAUCCGAGAGAGGAAGACGAGGGAUAUUGGCCAAGUCAAAUGCAUCAAGGACGGAGCAGGCCAACUCUUGGUGAAGGACGAGGAGAUUAAGCAUAGAUGGCGGGAGUACUUCGACAAGCUGUUCAAUGGGGAGAAUGAAAGCUCUACCAUUGAACUGGACGACUCUUUUGAUGAGACCAGCAUGCGUUUUGUGCGUCGAAUCCAGGAGUCUGAGGUCAAGGAGGCUUUAAAAAGGAUGAAGGGAGGCAAGGCGAUGGGCCCGGAUUGUAUCCCCAUUGAGGUGUGGAAAGGUCUCGGGGACAUAGCGAUAGUAUGGCUAACCAGGCUUUUCAAUCUCAUUUUUCGGGCAAACAAGAUGCCAGAAGAAUGGAGACGGAGUAUAUUAGUACCAAUCUUCAAGAACAAGGGGGAUGUUCAGAGUUGUACUAAUUACCGUGGAAUUAAGCUGAUGAGCCAUACAAUGAAGCUAUGGGAGAGAGUCAUUGAGCACCGCUUAAGAAGAAUGACAAGCGUGACCAAAAACCAGUUUGGUUUCAUGCCUGGGAGGUCGACCAUGGAAGCCAUUUUCUUGGUACGACAGCUUAUGGAGAGAUAUAGGGAGCAAAAGAAGGACUUGCAUAUGGUGUUCAUUGACUUGGAGAAGGCCUAUGAUAAGAUACCGCGAAAUGUCAUGUGGUGGGCCUUGGAGGAACACAAAGUCCCAGCAAAGUACAUUACCCUCAUCAAGGACAUGUACGAUAAUGUUGUGACAAGUGUUCGAACAAGUGAUGUCGACACUGAUGACUUCCCGAUUAAGAUAGGACUGCAUCAGGGGUCAGCUUUGAGCCCUUAUCUUUUUGCAUUGGUGAUGGAUGAGGUCACAAGGGAUAUACAAGGAGAUAUCCCAUGGUGUAUGCUCUUUGCGGAUGAUGUGGUGCUAGUUGACGAUAGUCGGGCGGGGGUAAAUAGGAAGUUAGAGUUAUGGAGACAAACCUUGGAAUCGAAAGGGUUUAGGCUUAGUAGGACUAAAACCGAGUACAUGAUGUGCGGUUUUAGUACUACUAGGUGUGAGGAGGAGGAGGUUAGCCUUGAUGGUCAGGUGGUACCUCGGAAGGACACCUUUCGGUAUUUGGGGUCAAUGCUGCAGGAGGAUGGGGGUAUUGAUGAAGAUGUGAACCAUCGGAUCAAAGCUGGAUGGAUGAAGUGGCGCCAAGCUUCUGGCAUUCUCUGUGACAAGAGAGUGCCACAAAAGCUAAAAGGCAAGUUCUACAGGACGGCGGUUCGACCCGCAAUGUUGUAUGGCGCUGAGUGUUGGCCGACUAAAAGGCGACAUGUUCAACAGUUAGGUGUGGCGGAGAUGCGUAUGUUGAGAUGGAUGUGUGGCCACACGAGGAAGGAUCGAGUCCGGAAUGAUGAUAUACGAGAUAGAGUUGGGGUAGCACCAAUUGAAGAGAAGCUUGUCCAACAUCGUCUGAGAUGGUUUGGGCAUAUCCAGCGCAGGCCUCCAGAAGCUCCAGUGCAUAGCGGAUGGCUAAAGCGUGCGGAGAAUGUCAAGAGAGGGCGGGGUAGACCGAAUUUGACAUGGGAGGAGUCAGUUAAGAGAGACCUGAAGGAUUGGGGUAUCACCAAAGAGCUAGCUAUGGACAGGGGUGCAUGGAAGCUUGCUAUCCAUGUGCCAGAGCCAUGA